UAGGGAAUCUUCGGCAAUGGGGGCAACCCUGACCGAGCAACGCCGCGUGAGUGAAGAAGGUUUUCGGAUCGUAAAGCUCUGUUGUAAGAGAAGAACGUGUGUGUGAGUGGAAAGUUCACACAGUGACGGUAACUUACCAGAAAGGGACGGCUAACUACGUGCCAGCAGCCGCGGUAAUACGUAGGUCCCGAGCGUUGUCCGGAUUUAUUGGGCGUAAAGCGAGCGCAGGCGGUUUAAUAAGUCUGAAGUUAAAGGCGGUGGCUUAACCAUUGUUCGCUUUGGAAACUGUUAAACUUGAGUGCAGAAGGGGAGAGUGGAAUUCCAUGUGUAGCGGUGAAAUGCGUAGAUAUAUGGAGGAACACCGGUGGCGAAAGCGGCUCUCUGGUCUGUAACUGACGCUGAGGCUCGAAAGCGUGGGGAGCAAACAGG
rnacentral:rRNA from 1 species